UACAGAGGGGGCGAGCGUUGUUCGGAAUUACUGGGCGUAAAGGGCUCGUAGGCGGCCGACUAAGUUAGACGUGAAAUCCCUCAGCUUAACUGGGGAACUGCGUCUGAUACUGGAUGGCUUGAGUUUGGGAGAGGGAUGCGGAAUUCCAGGUGUAGCGGUGAAAUGCGUAGAUAUCUGGAGGAACACCGGUGGCGAAGGCGGCAUCCUGGACCAGCACUGACGCUGAGGAGCGAAAGCCAGGGGAGCAAACGGG
rnacentral:rRNA from 1 species